AGUGAUGUUAUGAAUUUGCCUCUCCCCUUUAUCACUGACUGGAAAAAGGCUGGAUUUCUCCCAGCCACUUCACACUGGGCUGGCUUCAAAUGUGACAGAUCAGAUUUUAGAACCAAUUGCCGAAACCAGGUGUUAAAGCACGAAUAAUUGGUGCUUGCACAACCAACACCUCCAGGUAUCCUUUCCUCUCCCCACUCCUUGGGUAUCACAGCCUGGAAACAGCCUUCCCUGCCUCACUUCAGCCAGUGAGUGUACAAUGACAGGGCUUCAAUGUGAGAUUGUGCAAUUAGAGCCUGGAGUGGGAGCCAAGUCUCUUGGUUUCUAUUCCCAGCUCUGGCACAGACUCAUCUGCCUUGGGCAAGUUCCUUAACCCCUCUCUACCUCUGGCUUUCCAAUGUGCAUGGAAAAGGACUAUCCAGCUAGGAUGAUGCAGUCUUUGCUGAGGACUAAAAACCUAGAGUGAAAGCAGCUCCAGCGAAAAAGAAAUCAUAGGACCUAAGGAGCCCAUCCAAGUCCAUUUAGGUUUGUUUAUGAAUAUGGGAGGAUCUGGCUAAAACAACUGAACUUCCAAGUUCAUACCCAACGUCAUUCCCAGAGACACCUCAUCUGCAGCUAACACAGACCUGGAGCUGGAACACCUCCGUGCCAAGCUAAGACUUCUUUCAGAAAACUUUUUCUUCUCUACUGUGACUUGUGAAAUGUCUGCCUUGGAGUACAGUGAAGCCAUCUCUGCAGCUGAAGAUGAAGUCAUGGAUGUUUGGAGGCAGAAAUCAGUCUGGGAGAUGAGAUUUGCUAAUUCACCCCUUUGGGCCCAGGAGCAGCUGCCACCUGCAGAGGGCUGGGCUAUGAACUCUAUUCCCACAAGCAAACUCUUACUCACACAAAUAGUUCCACUGCAGUCAACAGGACUGUUCAUGUGAGCCCAGUGUGACCCAGGGGCUAUGUUUUCACUGUCUAUUAUUAAAGGCUACUCUGUGGCCACUCACAGGACCAAGCUCAUCUGCCUCUCACAUUGAUGGACUGCAACCACUGACCCUGCUGCACUCCCAGUGGCCUCAGAGCAUCCUCGUGCCCAGGGUACCAAGCAUGGGCAGAUGUUAUCCUGCUGGACAGGCAGGAUACACCAGGCACACUCCCACAGCUCCUUCACAGGCAGCCACAUAGAUAAGAUGAAGGGAUCAAGCAUUCUCUUUACAAUCUUUCCCAGCAGCUGGACAUAAGCAAAGGCCUGGGUCUGAUGAACAGUCAUUAAUGGGAUUUCUUGGGGUAAGUAUGAACAGCUUGAAUGAAAGCCCUUCUGCUAUUUCAACCAAAACCACCACAUACCCACUAAGAUACACACUCUUUGAAUAUUUCUGAACUAGCACUGUUUAUGUAAACUUUCUGACUUCUUACAUGACCUUACACUGUGUGCUAGAUCCACUGAGGUAAGCCAUGUCAUUUCUCAAAGCUCUCUCCCCUCCCUCACUUUGAUCUGCAUUUCCUUUCACUGGACUCUGACUUGCCACCAUAUGAUUUCGGGUAUUUCUUGCAACAUACAACUUCCUAAGCCUUCAGCAUUUCAUUCCAUUGAGAGAACAAAAUGUGUGGGACAGGCAGGAUUAGAAUUUAGUCAACUUUACAACAGAGGCUGUCUUAUCUCUUCAGCAGAUUACACAACCUGCUGUGACAUCAAAGCAAAUAGAGAUUCCUGAAGACAAGACAGUCUCUGUUAUGGGCACAGUCCCCCCAUCAGCAACUGGGUGGCUCUAAGAGGACCAGCUCUCUUCUGGUUACACUGCAUGUUUCAUCAAGAUUGUGCUCUGCAGCAGCUUUUAAAAUGAUGUAUUCACAAGGGGCACAGAUCCAUUAAACAGGCUGUGCAAAGCAUCUCUCAUUGUCUGGCACAGCUUCUCUGUAACGAGCUUCCCUGAACUUUGGUGAACUUGACCCCAAAGCAUCUCAGUGAUGAUGUGCAGAGCCCUGAGCACACCCUUCAAUACACACCACCCUGGGCUCACCCCUCAAUGGAGGAUGCACCUGCAAGGGUUGGGGCCAGGUAUCUUCAGCAGGGGCUGCCCAACCUGUAAUGCAGUUUGGCCAAAGGCACAAAAGAGGGACAGAUCUCUAAGCCACCAUCACUGCUGGUUUUGAAAGGGGCAGUUUGCAAGCACUCAGAGCUGUAUAAGCCUUCCACCCCCUCCUCCAGCUCUCUGUCCAUGCCCCUGUCACUUCUCACAUUCCCUGACCUCCAUCUGGAGCAAGCUCUGAGAAAGGCUGCAAAGGACAGGAGAGGCUCUUCUGAGUGC